rnacentral:tRNA from 1 species
UGCAUUUUGGUGUAUGGUGCACGAGAGUUUUUGAUAUUUUAGGUGAUAGUUUAAUUCUAUUGGAUGUAA